rnacentral:rRNA from 1 species
UUCACCAUUAAUGUCAUUAAUGUUCAGACCAGGUAACCCACCUGAAGCUAAGCAGAUUUGGGCCUGGCUAGUACUUGGAUGGGAGACCAACUAGGAAAGCUGGGUUGCUGCUGGAA